rnacentral:rRNA from 1 species
UACAGAGGGUGCGAGCGUUGUUCGGAAUUAUUGGGCGUAAAGCGCUUGUAGGCGGCUUGUUAAGUCGCGUGUGAAAUCCCCAGGCUCAACCUGGGAAGUGCGCGCGAAACUGGCGAGCUUGAAUGCCGGAGAGGGUCGCGGAAUUCCCGGUGUAGAGGUGAAAUUCGUAGAUAUCGGGAGGAACACCAGUGGCGAAGGCGGCGACCUGGACGGACAUUGACGCUGAGACGCGAAAGCGUGGGGAGCAAACAGG